rnacentral:tRNA from 1 species
GCCAGUGUGGUGUAGUGGUUUGAGUGUUGGACUACAACUCUGGAGAUCUGAGUUCAAUUCCCAGCUCAGCCA